UACGGAGGGUGCAAGCGUUAUCCGGAUUCACUGGGUUUAAAGGGUGCGUAGGCGGAUAGGUAAGUCCGUGGUGAAAUCCUGCAGCUUAACUGCAGAACUGCCAUGGAUACUAUUUAUCUUGAAUGUCGUGGAGGUUAGCAGAAUAUGUCAUGUAGCGGUGAAAUGCUUAGAUAUGACAUAGAAUACCCAUUGCGAAGGCAGCUAACUACGCGAUAAUUGACGCUGAUGCAUGAAAGCGUGGGGAUCAAACAGG
rnacentral:rRNA from 1 species